UCGACACAGUCUGUUUAAUUGAGAUCUUUCAGUUAAAGAGGAAUGUUGGAGAGCUGUUGUCAGAGCUUUUACAGCAAACCAAGACUCAAGAGCCUACAGAUUUUAGGUCCUAAAAGGGCUUUUGAUUCUCCUGGAGGACAAGCCUGCAGACUUCUUUAAACCAUGCUUUGGCUCUGAUGAUCCAGUCAUUCCACCACCUUGAAAUCCUAUUCUUAUUGCAGACAAAGCCUCAGUUAAGAUGAUCAUUGAGGGACAACUUGUGAUGGACUGCUUCAAAGACUUGUCAAAAGCUGUGCAUUCUCUUUGGACUAAUAUAUACCCCAAGUCGACGAAGAACACUUUUCUCUUCAUCCAACAAAUUUCUCCUCAUGUUGGGCUACAGUGACUUAAUGCCCAAGCUACAGACAUUAAAUAAUUAAAUUGCUUUUCGAUUCACUGCAAAAUUUGCACAACUGUUCUAUUAGCAAUGAUUGCU